AGUAACGCGUGGAUAACCUGCCUUACACUGGGGGAUAACACUUAGAGAUAGGUGCUAAUACCGCAUAAGCGCACAGAGCCGCAUGGCUCAGUGUGAAAAACUCCGGUGGUGUAAGAUGGAUCCGCGUCUGAUUAGCUGGUUGGCGGGGUAGAAGCCCACCAAGGCGACGAUCAGUAGCCGGCCUGAGAGGGUGAACGGCCACAUUGGGACUGAGACACGGCCCAAACUCCUACGGGAGGCAGCAG
rnacentral:rRNA from 1 species